GAUGAACGCUGACGGCGUGCCUAAUACAUGCAGGUCGAGCGAACGGACGAGAAGCUUGCUUCUCUGAUGUUAGCGGCGGACGGGUGAGUAACACGUGGAUAACCUACCUAUAAGACUGGGAUAACUUCGGGAAACCGGAGCUAAUACCGGAUAAUAUUUUGAACCGCAUGGUUCAAAAGUGAAAGACGGUCUUGCUGUCACUUAUAGAUGGAUCCGCGCUGCAUUAGCUAGUUGGUAAGGUAACGGCUUACCAAGGCAACGAUGCAUAGCCGACCUGAGAGGGUGAUCGGCCACACUGGAACUGAGACACGGUCCAGACUCCUACGGGAGGCAGCAGUAGGGAAUCUUCCGCAAUGGGCGAAAGCCUGACGGAGCAACGCCGCGUGAGUGAUGAAGGUCUUCGGAUCGUAAAACUCUGUUAUUAGGGAAGAACAUAUGUGUAAGUAACUGUGCACAUCUUGACGGUACCUAAUCAGAAAGCCACGGCUAACUACGUG
rnacentral:rRNA from 1 species